UACGGGGGGGGCAAGCGUUGUUCGGAAUUACUGGGCGUAAAGCGCGCGUAGGCGGCUUUUCAAGUCGAGUGUGAAAGCCCCGGGCUUAACCCGGGAAUGGCGCUCGAUACUGUUGAGCUAGAGUGUGGAAGGGGCUACUGGAAUUCCGUGUGUAGCGGUGAAAUGCGCAGAUAUCAGGAGGAACACCAAUAGCGAAGGCAGCUCGCUGGGACGUUACUGACACUGAGGCGCGAAAGCGUGGGGAGCGAACAGG
rnacentral:rRNA from 1 species